rnacentral:rRNA from 1 species
UACGUAGGGAGCAAGCGUUAUCCGGAUUUAUUGGGUGUAAAGGGUGCGUAGACGGAGAAGCAAGUUAGUUGUGAAAUCCCUCGGCUUAACUGAGGAACUGCAACUAAAACUACUUCCCUUGAGUACUGGAGAGGAAAGUGGAAUUCCUAGUGUAGCGGUGAAAUGCGUAGAUAUUAGGAGGAACACCAGUGGCGAAGGCGACUUUCUGGACGGUAACUGACGUUGAGGCACGAAAGUGUGGGGAGCAAACAGG